rnacentral:rRNA from 1 species
UACGGAGGGGACUAGCGUUGUUCGGAAUUACUGGGCGUAAAGCGCACGUAGGCGGAUUUGUAAGUCAGGGGUGAAAUCCCGGGGCUCAACCUCGGAACUGCCUUUGAUACUGCAAAUCUCGAGUCCGGAAGAGGUGAGUGGAAUUCCUAGUGUAGAGGUGAAAUUCGUAGAUAUUAGUAAGAACACCAGUGGCGAAGGCGGCUCACUGGUCCGGUACUGACGCUGAGGUGCGAAAGCGUGGGGAGCAAACAGG